rnacentral:rRNA from 1 species
UACGUAGGGGGCGAGCGUUGUCCGGAGUUACUGGGCGUAAAGCGCACGCAGGCGGUCUGUUAAGUUUGGAGUGACAGUUGGUGGCUCAACCACCAAAGUGCUUUGAAAACUGAUAGACUUGAGGGCUUCAGAGGGACACGGAAUUCCGGGUGGAGUGGUGAAAUGCGUAGAUAUCAGGAGGAACACCUGCGGUGUAGACGGCUUUCUGGACCAUUGUUGACGCUGAGACACGAAAGCGUGGGUAGCAAACAGG